rnacentral:misc_RNA from 1 species
GUGCCGUGUGUGGUGCCGUGUAGUGCCGGUGCGGGCGGCUGACGGUGUGCCGCUCGAAGUGAUAUUCUAUUGCGAAGUUUUAGUUUAACGAUGCAGCUGACUGAAUGAUAGUGAUGCCAAGGUAUACAAAUCAAAAUACUCUUUACACAGACUUUUUACCCGUGUGCUUCCACGUGUUAAGAAUGUAACAAAGCAGCUCAUUUUAACUUAUGUUAUCCUGGUACCUUCAAACGAGUUUUCAUCCAAAUGUAAUAAAUAUUACUCAUCUCCACGUGUUGGUUUGUCGUGUUACUUCUUGCCCGAUCUUCAACAGUGACUUUCAAUUAUUAGUAUGUCAAACCUUAAGAAAAUCUCGUUUUUUAGUUUUAGAAAUAAAUCCUGAUCUUAACCAGCCUAAACACUUUCGUAUGUAUUGGACAUUAGAAUUUUAACCAAAUCAAACAGAACCAAACGUAUGAUAUGAAAUUGUAUAAAAAUUGUAUCAACUAUUGAUAAGCUUUGAG